rnacentral:pre_miRNA from 1 species
UCACUGCGGUGGCCACGCUUAGGUCGCGAUUAGGUGUAAACGUUGUGUCUGUUAAUCAAAUUGCACCAAUCCCGGCCUGCUUGUGGUCGCCAUGCCGCGUGA